GAUGAACGCUGGCGGCGUGCCUAAUACAUGCAAGUCGAGCGAACGGACGAGAAGCUUGCUUUUCUGAUGUUAGCGGCGGACGGGUGAGUAACACAUGGAUAACCUACCUAUAAGACUGGGAUAACUUCGGGAAACCGGAGCUAAUACCGGAUAAUAUUUUGAACCGCAUGGUUCAAAAGUGAAAGACGGUCUUGCUGUCACUUAUAGAUGGAUCCGCGCUGCAUUAGCUAGUUGGUAAGGUAACGGCUUACCAAGGCAACGAUGCAUAGCCGACCUGAGAGGGUGGUCGGCCACCCGGGAACUGAGACACGGUACAGACUCCUACGGGAGGCAGCAGUAGGGAAUCUUACGCGAUGGGCGAAAGCCUGACGGAGCAACGCCGCGUGAGUGAUGAAGGUCUUCGGAUCGUAAAACUCUGUUAUUAGGAAAGAACAUAUGUGUAAGUAACUGUGCACAUCUUGACGGUACCUAAUCAGAAAGCCACGGCUAACUACGUG
rnacentral:rRNA from 1 species